UACAGAGGUCCCAAGCGUUGUUCGGAUUCACUGGGCGUAAAGGGUGCGUAGGUGGUGAGGUAAGUCGGAUGUGAAAUCUCCGGGCUCAACCCGGAAAUGGCAUUGGAAACUACCUUGCUUGAGGGUUUGAGGGGGGAUUGGAAUACUUGGUGUAGCAGUGAAAUGCGUAGAUAUCAAGUGGAACACCAGUGGCGAAGGCGAAUCCCUGGAAAAUACCUGACACUGAGGCACGAAAGCUAGGGGAGCAAACGGG
rnacentral:rRNA from 1 species